CCGAGACCGCCCCCCGAGAGCCUGGCGCCCCGCCUGCCCUGACUUCUCGUUUCGUUUCCGGGCGCUUUGUUACCGAGGCCAGGCCACUCGAAGCGGGCUCCGAGAAAACUAUUGAUUGGGACAUUUUAAGUUAAGAUCUCAUUUAUUGCUGAUGGCCGAGUUUUCCGUGCAGUUCGUGGUGUUACUAAAAGCAUCGUACCUCGGGGAUGGCAGCACUGCAGCUAACACCACGAGACAUCUCUUGCUUGUUGGCACACGCCUGUGAGACCAUCGUAACGUUUUCUGUAUGUACUCCUGCUGUGUAAACGAAAACCCACACUAUGGCAAGCUAAACACUUGUUGAAAGACACACUUACCAGCAGUAUAAAAGAGAUGUGAUGAAGGCUGGAUUUAAGGUUUCUAUACCCUGGUGACAAGUGACAGCCCCGAGGUGUCCAGACUUGUUCUCUAGUGCCGCCUUCUGGCUGAUCCCUCCUAGAAAAGUAAGUCAACAGAUCCCUGAGCUAGGUGACAACAUAUAAAGGAUUAACUGGCUUUCCAGAAAGUGCAUGGAGAAUUCCUCCUGUAGCCUGACUCAAAUCAAAAAUACUGUGAGAACUGGAGUCCUGUCACCCCGGGUGGUGUGAGCCCCUCCAUCAUGCUCAGUCAGGGGGGCCCUUCUGCUGCGGUGCACGGGAAAUGGUUUUCUGUCCUGGACAGGUCUGUUCAAGCAGUGACUUGAGGAUUCAUUUCUGAGGUAUUUGUGAGGUGGUGUUCACUCUGUGAAACAUCGUUAUUUGUAUUUUGUCCAAAGCUGUGUUAGGUGAGAUAACGGGUCUGUAAACAACGUUGCAAGUAUCGCUCUGGUAAAGAGCAUCUAGUAGGUAUUAUGAUCUCCAAAAUAACACAAGUGGAAUUUUGUGAUCGAUAUCCUUUUCUAAAGGACGCAAGUUAUGCAAUCUACUCUUUAUGGUGGUAUCAGAAGAUUUGCGGCUUGGAAUAGCUUUAGGGGUAACGUGAGUGUGACCACUGCAUAGCUGAAACAAAAUCAGGAGAAAUAUUUCAGGGGCUGGGAUGUCAGGUCCAGUGCCAGCUUGGGACUAAAGGCCAGAGCCCUCAGCAAGGGAUUACGACCAUUUUGGAGUUGCCAUCCAUAGCAAAUCCUAUCCCUAUGAUCCUAAAGCAGAGCUAAAGCCCUGCCUAGGGGAAGGCGAGGCAGCAAAGCCUUCGACUUGAGACAGGGCACCCUCGCCUGGGAGCACAAUCAGAGCCCCAGCAGCCACGAGGCGGGAAGAGCAACCCCCGCCGCCUAACGGCAAAAAGCAGCGCCAAGGCGGCCGACGUGCGGGACGGCGACCCCCCUUUCUCAUUUCCCGAGGUGUUUCCGGGGCGGCCGCUCUCCGGCCGCCGAGCGCGGC